ACUAGAAUAGUUUAUUAGAAUAUUAACUUGUGGAGUUAAAGGUGUAAGAUGUUUACUUUUAGUA
rnacentral:tRNA from 1 species